rnacentral:rRNA from 1 species
GACGAACGCUGGCGGCGUGCCUAAUACAUGCAAGUUGAGCGCUGAAGGUUGGUACUUGUACCGACUGGAUGAGCAGCGAACGGGUGAGUAACGCGUGGGGAAUCUGCCUUUGAGCGGGGGACAACAUUUGGAAACGAAUGCUAAUACCGCAUAAAAACUUUAAACACAAGUUUUAAGUUUGAAAGAUGCAAUUGCAUCACUCAAAGAUGAUCCCGCGUUGUAUUAGCUAGUUGGUGAGGUAAAGGCUCACCAAGGCGAUGAUACAUAGCCGACCUGAGAGGGUGAUCGGCCACAGUGGGACUGAGACACGGCCCAAACUCCUACGGGAGGCAGCAGUAGGGAAUCUUCGGCAAUGGACGAAAGUCUGACCGAGCAACGCCGCGUGAGUGAAGAAGGUUUUCGGAUCGUAAAACUCUGUUGGUAGAGAAGAACGUUGGUGAGAGUGGAAAGCUCAUCAAGUGACGGUAACUACCCAGAAAGGGACGGCUAACUACGUGCCAGCCGCCGCAGUAAUAC